GGGGGUAUGGCGGAACGGCAUACGCGGCUCCCUUAAAAAGAGUUGCCAGCAGGAUUGUGGGUUCGAGUCCCACUACCCCCACCG
rnacentral:tRNA from 1 species